UACGUAGGGUGCAAGCGUUAAUCGGAAUUACUGGGCGUAAAGCGUGCGCAGGCGGUUUUGUAAGUUUGUCGUGAAAGCCCCGGGCUCGACCUGGGAAUUGCGAUGAAGACUGCAAGGCUUGAAUCUGGCAGAGGGGGGUAGAAUUCACGUGUAGCAGUGAAAUGCGUAGAGAUGUGGAGGAACACCGAUGGCGAAGGCAGCCCCCUGGGUCAAGAUUGACGCUCAUGCACGAAAGCGUGGGGAGCAAACAGGA
rnacentral:rRNA from 1 species